CAGCACCACAGUAUCCUCACCACAUACAAGGAACCCUAUGAAACUCCACUGAAACCGAGGCUCAUGUAUACCCAGAACCAUGCUGACGGACCAUCUCAAAACAGCUGAACUUUACCCGAGCUAGACAGACUACUGUCAAACUAUUAAUCCAGGACAAAUUGAAUUGUGGACUAUUAUAAAAUGCCGCACAACACGGUGAAUAUCUUUUGGAUCUGCGGUAUGCUUUGAUCCACAGGUUUAAACAUACAGACAGGAACCCUGGAGACGGACUGGUGGCUUUUGGUCGCCUGCAAAAUAAUGGGACAACUAAACUGAGCAGACAAGCAGCAGGAAAUCCCUCCAGUGAAGGGGCCAGAGGUGACGGGAAGACGACCGGACAAGGUUUCAGUGUAAAGAGGGUCACGGGGAACCAGGAGCCUAUCCCAGGGAGCAUCGGGCACGGGUACACCCUGGACAGGGUGCCGAUCCAUCGCAUUCACAUACACAUUCAUACACUACGGACACUUUGGAAACACCAAUCAAACACCUACCGUGCAUGUCUUUGGACUGGGGGAGGAAACUGGAGUACCCGGAGGAAACCCCCGCAGCACGGGGAGAACAUGCAAACUCCACACGCACAGGGCCACGGCGGGACUCGAACCCCAGACCCUGGAGGUGUGUGAGAACGUGCUAACCACUAAGCCACCGUACGCCCCAGGAGUAUCAUGUGUAGCUCAACAGAGAGAGAGAGAGAGAUUAUUAUGUGCGCUAAUUAUCACAUAAUGGUUAAGGACAAUGUUCUUUGCAUGCAGAGUGCAAGCAGCCACUUCGGCAAGACUAGCUAUGACAACAUGACUAAAAGGGAUAUCCAGAAAGUAGUACAGACACAAGGGUGUCCUGGAACAUAAAGCAGCCAGCUACUCCACUGUCAACAAACCCAUUCCUUCUAAACCCACAUACGCCUUUAUAAUACUAAAGUCCCAGAUUUAUAACCCAGUUAGACCACAGGAUUCUGCUCCAGGUCCUGGAGAACCCCCUGUCCUACACAUUCUAGUUUUUCUAACCCUAGCCCUGCUCUAACACACUUCAUUCAACCCAUCAGCUAAUAAACAACACUUCCACAGUUCAGAAGCAGGUGUGUUAGAGCAAGCGAAAACACUCAAAUGUGCAGGACCAGAGUUGAGAACCUGAGUCAUAUACAGACAAUGAACCUUUGUGUUCUUUAAACUCUCACAGCCUUUCCACAUGACCCAUCCUAAAGUAUACAUUGGGUUGUGAUUGUGUGUGAUUACUGAUUCUACAGCAUGCAAACUCUCAAAUGACCUUGAAGCCAUGAAGCCUGAAUAAUGUCAUGAAUUCAGGAUGAUUUGCGAAGUAAUUUCCUUAAGGAAAAUAGCCUACCUUAAAAAGAAUGAAGAAAUCGAAAUGUAUUUUUAUAUGUAAUGUAUUAUUUUGUGUAACCUAAAAUCAAAAUGUAAAAAAAAUAAUAAAGAAAUACAGGAAUUAAACACCCAUCUGGUAUUAAUAGUGUUCAAUAAUGUUAAAGAUCUUAAUAAAUAGAAUUAUUUUGACAAAAAAGCAACAGCACCAAUACUACUACUAGUAAUAGUAAUAAAAUAAAAAUAAGGAUUAGAAGAUAAUAAUAAUUAAAAUACUCAUUAAACAUGUAUUUUAUUAUUAGUAUAAUAUAAAAUGCAAGUAAUUAAAAUGUACAAAAAAUUACAUGGAUGUGGGAUUAAUAGCAAUGGCAAUUAAGAAUAUUAAUUUUGGUAAUAAAUACAAUUAAUUUGAACAAUUAUUAAAAAAUACAUCAGCACAAAUAAUAAUAAUAAUAAGAAGAAGAAGAAGAAGAAGAAGAAGGAGAAGAAGAAGAAGACAAUAAUUGAAUAUUUGUUUUAUAUUACAUUAUAUAAAACGUCAAUUAAUUUUAGAUAUUUUUAAUGAUUUCAAAGUCAUCUUUGCAUAUUAACAUGCAAAUAAAAAAAUAUAAGUACUCAAUACCAUUUGCACAAAUUAACUAAGAAAUUAUACAGCUGUGGUGUUUUUUCCCCUCUCAUAGCCACUAUACUCCUUAGAGGAGGAUAAGGUCUAAAGGAAAGGCUUUUAGAAAUCCCAAAAGAGUUCACAGUCUAUUCUAUGCAGUUAAGACGUGGGAGGAAACCCAGGCCCUCCCUCAGAAACAUUCCAUUUCCUGCCAUUACACGGUUUCCCCUUUCCCCUGAUCAUAAACAACUCUUGGUGUGUAUACUUUUCUUCUAGUUGUAAGAAGAUCUGGACAAGAAAAUAAAAAUAUGUAUUGUAGAAACAGGGAAUCCUCUGCACAGAGCCUAUUUCCUCCUCCCUCGGGUGCAGACAUGGUUGGCUCAUGGGCUUGUGUGGAAGUGCUCGCUCUCCCAGAACAACAGUCUAAAGAGUAUGAGAUGAAGCACAUCAGGAGAUCAGGAGGCCUCAAUCACAGCUCAAUAACAGUUAUUCCUCAGCGGCGGACCAAACGCAACAGUAGGCCGAGGAGCAGAUAUGAAGCUGGCAGUUGAAACUUGUCGGGUCAAUUUGGCUUAUCAGCACGGAAGAUCGGGCCGUGACUCACCAGGCUGUACGGUCAAGCGAGCCUGUCAGUUGUUUAUUAGUCUGAUGAUUUAAAAGGGUCUUUUUCAUAAGAGAUUGAAUACUCUUAGUCCUUUUAGGGAAAAGAAACAGUCAUGAACAUCAAAGGAUUACAGCGAAGAGACAAAGCAUGCUUGUAGUUAUAGUUACACUCUCAGAUUGCAGGUCUUUGUGUGAGUAGAAGAGCAGAACAGUAGAUAUGGGAUCAAUUAUGAACCAUGUUCACUAAACCAUCACAUACACUACAUGAAACUUAAUGUGAGGUUAUAGACUCUCAUGUUCUCUUCUGUGUGUACAGCUUACUUGGUAGUAACACCUAAAACUGUUCAUGUUUAUAAAAGGAAAGGGAAGAUUAUAUGUGCUGCACUAAGCCUUACAGGUAUACAUUAAAUAUAAUGCAUUUUCCCCCUAUUCUUUCUUGUUGAAUUUUUCUGAAGAACAGUGGGCAGUUUAACCGCUCAGGACAAACAAGUCGGUGAUCAUCCAGGUAACGUCACACGACACACAGUAUUAAUAAUCACGCGUAUUAUGUUAUCAUUGUGUCUUGUGGACUAUAUGUAAAUAUAUAUUUUUUUUAAAUUAAAAAAGAAGCAGUUUUUAUGAUCCCGCUUUUUUUUUAAUGGUUAACAUUUCGCGGAUUCUGCAAGGCAUAUGUAAACUUAUGACCUCGACUGUAUACACAUUUAUACACAGCGACCUACUGUGACGUUUUUUGGGAGGUGGGAGGAAACCAGGAAACCUAGAGGAAUCUCUCAUAUUACACAGAUAGUAACCUGAGUUCAGGAUCGAACCCUGGAUCUGUGAAGCGGCAAUACUUUAAGUCUUUAAUGUUCUACAUCAUUAAACAGGUAUUUACAAUGUCCCACCAACCUCCCUGUGAUGUUCAUGACAUAAGCACAGAAUGUUUGAG